rnacentral:rRNA from 1 species
AGCUGAUCGCAUGGUCUUGUACCGGCGACGUGUCUUUCAAGCUUCUGCCUUAUCAACUUUCGAUGGUAGUGUCAGUGACUACCAUGGUGGUGACGGGUAACGGAGGAUCAGGGUUCGACUCCGGAGAAGGGGCCUGAGAAAUGGCCACUACGUCUAAGGAUGGCAGCAGGCGCGCAAAUUACCCACUCUCAGAACGAGGAGGUAGUGACGAGAAAUAACAAGAGUGUCUUCAUAAGAGGCCACUCAUUGGAAUGGGUACAAUCUAAACCCUUUAACGAGUAUCUACGCGAGGGCAAGUCUGGUGCCAGCAGCCGCGGUAAUUCCAGCUCGCGAAAUGCAUAGAAUUAUUGCUGCGGUUAAAAAGCUCGUAGUUGGAUCUGUGCCGGCGUGUCGGUCCACCUCCGGGUGCGCACUGGCAGCCGUCGGCUUUCCUGCAGUCUUGUCGGCUCGGCUGCCCUUCACUGGGUGCCGAUGUCCGGUGCUGCAAGUUUACUUUGAACAAAUCAGAGUGCUCUAAACAGGCGUUUCGCUUGAAUGUUCGUGCAUGGAAUAAUAGAAGAGGAUCACGGUUCUAUUUUAUUGGUUUUAUAGACCGAGAUAA